ACGCUCGACACCUACGGGAAGCAGCAGUCGGGAAUAUUGCGCAAUGGAGGAAACUCUGACGCAGUGACGCCGCGUAUAGGAAGAAGGUUUUCGGAUUGUAAACUAUUGUCGUUAGGGAAGAGAAAGGACAGUACCUAAGGAGGAAGCUCCGGCUAACUACGUGUCAGCAGCCGCGGUAAUCUGAGCGGGCUGGCAAGGC
rnacentral:rRNA from 1 species